UGAGGCAGGAGAAUUGCUUGAACCUGGGAGGCGGAGGUUGCAGUGAGCCAAGAUUGUACCACUGCACUCCAGCCUGGGCGACAGAGCAAGACUCUGUCUUGAA
rnacentral:miRNA from 1 species